rnacentral:lncRNA from 1 species
CACACUCUCGCUCAGCUCGUACGGGAGCAAGAGAAUGUUACUCUAUCCUAACCGAGUUUUCCUUUUUCUCUGUCUCAUAGAUAGGAAGAAUUGAAGAGCCAGAGAAAACGUCCCUUCUCUGAGGGGACAGCAGAGAUGGGGAGUGGCAUCAGUGCUGAGGACAAAGAACUUGCCAAGAGGUCCAGGGAGCUGGAAAAGAAGCUGCAGGAGGAUGCUGACAAGGAAGCCAAGACUGUCAAGCUGCUGCUGCUUGGUGCGGGAGAGUCAGGGAAGAGCACGAUCGUCAAACAAAUGAAGCAUUGACUAUGCUGAACCAAGCUGUGCGGUACGUGACUAAUGUUAUCUGGUUCUGGGUGGAAGCGGGAGAAGAAAUAGACCAGAGACCAGCAAACCACAAGG